rnacentral:lncRNA from 1 species
AAACCUUCCAAGAAAGAACAAGCAGUAUAACCAUAAAAAGAAAGCGCACAAAACAAACCUGUACUUGCAGAACAAGUGAUUACACCCUUAAGAAAAGUAUCUUAAAAGACAACAGACAGGACAUAGUUUUGUAGAACAAGUACCCCAGUUACAAACAAAACCACAAGCAAGUUUAAUGCACCAAAUUCCUCAAAGAUCAAUGUACAUAGACUUGAUGUAGUUCUUGAGAUGAUCACCAGGACGGGUAAAUUCAUCAUCCUUUUCGUAGCUAA